UAAGAUCAGAUGGUGUUUCUUAGGAGCCGU
rnacentral:piRNA from 1 species